CCCUCCUCUCCUCCUCAAUCCCGUGCGCUCCCCAAGCCGCCGCCAUGAUAGACCACGAGCCGCCACCGUCGCCGUGCCUUGCCCCCUCGCGCCUCCUCCUCUGCGACUCCGAGCCGCCGCCAUCGCGCAUCUCCGCCUCAACCCACCCAACACUGCGCUGGGACGGAGGUGGAGGAGCACGGAUUCGGAAGAGGCGUGCGCUCGUCCGCGCCCUCGAUUUCUUCCAGCGGCGGCUGCCCGCGUGCCCUCGAUUUCGUCCAACGGCGGCUGGCCGUGCGCUGGCGGCGAAAGGCGGCAACCGAGCGGUGGUGGCGGCUGGCGGCGCUCGCCCUCGAUUUCGUCCGAGCAUCCAGCGGCGGCGGAAGGGAGCAGAAGAAGCGCGCCGGCGGCGGAAGGCAGCAAUCGAGCGGUGGUGGCGGCGGCUGGACCGUGCGCGCCCUCGAUUUCUUCCUCGGCACUCCUGGAGUGGAGAUGCUCUCAGUCGCUUCCAUAGUAGGUCGCCUUGCCUCGCCUCGCCUAGCUGCACACCCUCGGUCGACUCCCGGCGUCGCGCGCUUGUCCGCCACGCCCUAAGCCCGCUCCAGCCUCCAGCCUUGAUGUUGAUGAAAUUGAAAAGAUAAUUUAUAUUGAUGUGAGUGUUUUCAGAGGAGGAGGAAAAAACAGUUUCCCUAUUGCUGCUCUGUUGAUGUUUUUCAGAAGGUUGGUCUUGUUCUUGGACCUGAUUUUGUAUGCUGCUUGGUGCUUCCAGAUAUAUACGUAGCACAUAAUAACCACGUCGAGCAGGAUGGGUGGCGCAUCAGUGGAGUCAUCGCCCCAGCAUGUCGACUCUCGCCAGCCUCCACAAGCGGCGAAGACGGUUCAGCUUGGCCAUGGCGAUGGCAGUUUUCCGGAUCUGUGUUGUAGUUGUUGCUGCUGCUGGGCGAGCUGUUACAUAGUCACACUGAGGCUGACGCGCAACAAUGCUUGCAUUUCUGGGGCAUCAUCUCAUGCAGACGUCGGCACCUGACAUCCGUCCGAUAUGAGCGAUUACCUGACGGAUUCAUCCCUGGAGUGAUACAUCAAAAGAUUACUCGGAUGGUGCCCAGAUAACACGAAGGAGGUUCUAGGAUUUAGUAGGCUCGCUUCUUGUCUCAUCCUGUACUAGGCUCUGGUUAUGUGCUCUUCUUCUGUGUUGAGUUAACGCAUAUGAGUAUGUGAUCUGCUAAAUAACACCGGGACAGUCCUAGGCAUGAGUGAAAUCAAGGACUUGUUUGAGGAUAUACCAGUGGCUGUAAGCUAAUGCGUUCUUGUGCCUAUUUUGGAUUUGUUUGGCCGUUUUCAGUUGUAAUCUCGAUGUGUUCCUUGAGCACUGGAAAUGAGUUAAUUCUAAAGUAAAGG